rnacentral:rRNA from 1 species
AGCGAACGCUGGCGGCAGGCCUAACACAUGCAAGUCGAACGAACCUUUCGGGGUUAGUGGCGGACGGGUGAGUAACACGUGGGAACGUGCCCUUAGGUUCGGAAUAACUCAGGGAAACUUGUGCUAAUACCGAAUGUGCCCUUCGGGGGAAAGAUUUAUCGCCUUUAGAGCGGCCCGCGUCUGAUUAGCUAGUUGGUUGAGGUAAUGGCUCACCAAGGCGACGAUCAGUAGCUGGUCUGAGAGGAUGAUCAGCCACAUUGGGACUGAGACACGGCCCAAACUCCUACGGGAGGCAGCAGUGGGGGAUCUUGCGCAAUGGGCGAAAGCCUGACGCAGCCAUGCCGCGUGAAUGAUGAAGGUCUUAGGAUUGUAAAAUUCUUUCACCGGGGACGAUAAUGACGGUACCCGGAGAAGAAGCCCCGGCUAACUUCGUG